GUAGGUUGCCUAACCGCAAGGAGGGCGCUUCCUAAGGUAAGACCGAUGACUGGGGUGAAGUCGUAACAAGGUAGCCGUAUCGGAAGGUGCGGCUGGAUCACCUCCUUU
rnacentral:rRNA from 1 species